GGCACGGAGGGUGUCUGAGGAAGACUGCUCUGGGCACAGCGAAGAAUGGUAUUGUGUAAAGAUUAGCCUCUGGCAUGGAAGACGGUCUUGACUCUGUCCCUGACGUUCUGUGUGCUGCGUGGCCUGUUGCUCCAUCAGUCCAGUAGUUCGAAUCAUCUCCAAGUCCUAGGCCUUUUCUGCCCCUCUCACUCGCCAGCUGUUUGUAGCGGUGAAUUGCUGAGAUUGCCUCUUCUCUGGCCUUGUGCCUGAACACCAAAGUCACAGCCCCAGACCCACCCCUCACUCACAGCCCAGUGGGGGGCCAGAUAGUGACAGCCCAGAAUGGUGAGGCCUGGGCUGGGGGAAACAGAGGAGUUAGGGCCGGUAUGCGGGAAGUACAGGGCCCUGUGGGAGCCAAGCGGAGCAGAGGGCUCCUGACUCAGCCUGAUGGGUCAUAGAGCUUUGAAAGGAUUGGAUGGGGGCGGGGCCUUGGAAGAGGCUCCACUUCUAAGAAGGGGAGAUAUUUGAGCUGAGGCCUGAAAAAUGAGUAGCAUCCUAUGAAGUGUUAAAAGAGAGGUGACACAGAUCUAUAUGUGACUCAUCUGUAUGAAAUGGCAUCCAGGACAUUCUAUUAUUGGGGGAAAAUAAUGCAAACUGCAAUACAAAAAAAAAAAAAAGGAAUGAGUAGCAUUCUUCUGGGAAAAGGUGCAGUGUCCGGAAUGGGUGUUUCAGGCAGAGGAAAUGACAUCUGCAAGGGCUUGGAUUAAGAAAGCGUGGCUCGGGCUUCCCUGGUGGCACAGUGGUUGAGAGUCCGCCUGCAGGUGCAGGGGACCUGGGUUCGAGCCCCGGUCUGGGAGGAUCCCAUGUGCCGCGGAGCGGCUGGGCCCGUGAGCCAUGGCCGCUGGGCCUGCGCGUCCAGAGCCUGUGCUCCGCAGCGGGAGAGGCCACAACAGUGAGAGGCCCUGGGGACCCCCUUGCUGCCCUGGCGAGCCAUCUGUCACAGGUCCCCUAGUCCAGGAUCCAGCCGGUUGACGGGCUGUAAUGUAAACCCUUGAGGGCAGACCCUAGGCUUGUUCCCUCAGAGCCUGGUGGUUCAGUGACUGGCCUUGAGGUCGACCAGAAGCUGGGCUUGAAUCCCAGCUCCCCCACUAAUCAGAUGUGUGACCUUGGGUAAGUGACUCAACUUCCUGAUCUGUCAAAUGGGGAUAUAAUAUUGGGUUUCAUGAAACCAAUCUCAUCAUUUUAGAGAGCCAUAAAGAAUUAAACAUAUAAUUUAUAUAUUAUAUAUUUUAAAAUAUAUAACUUUGUAGAUGGUAUCAAGGAACCCAAGAAACAACAGAGAGACUUAAAAACGGGCUGCCACGUCAGAUGACACUUUGGCCUAAGUUAUGGAAAAUGCAGUUGCUGAAACGUGAAUUCGCCAGCUCGAAGAUAUGCUACUCCAAACGAGGCUAAGAUUCUAAGAUUGCAUGGAUCUUCCUCAGAGUGUACUCUUCUAACAUAGUGGACAGUGGCAUUGAUCCGGAUGUUCCCUCCUGCUGAGCCCCAGGCUCACCUGUGCCCUUCACCUGGAAGUCAGUGCGGCGCUGCAGCGUGGAUGGCAGCUCAUUCAGCCGUAGGCUCAGCUGCCGUUUGAAAGUAUGAUUUAAGAGUACGUUGCAUACAAUAAACAAGGCAUGGAAACAACCUAAAUGUCCAUCAAUAGAUGAACGGAUAAAGAAGAUGUGGUAAUAUAUAUACAACGGAAUACUACCCAGCCAUAAAAAAGAAUGAAAUAAUGCCAUUUGCAGCAACAUGGAUGGACGUGGAGAUCAUCAUCCUAAGUGAAGUAAGUCAGAAAGAGAAAGACAAAUAUCAUGUGAUAUCACUUAUAUGUGGAAUCUAAAAAAAAGAUACAAAUGAACUUAUUCACAAAACAGAAAUAGACUCACAGGCAUAGAAAACAAAUUUAUGGUUACCAAAGGGGAAAAGGGAGAGGGGAUAAAUUAGGAGCUGGGGACUAACGGAUGCACACUACUAUAUAUAAAAUAUAAAUAUAAAUACAUAUAAACAACAAGGAAAAAAAAAAAAGAGUAAGCUGCAGACAGCUUACCCAGCCCUAAAACCUUCAGCAUGUACCUAAGAACAAGGACAGCCUCCUACUCCACAGGACAACUUCUUACUUGGGAAGUUUAACAUGGAUAUGAUACUGUUAGCUAGUCUACAGUCCAUAUUCUAAUUUCCCCAACUGGUCUACUCAUGUCCUUUAUGGACGUUCAUAUAUAUAUAUUUUUUUCAAUGUAUAUAUUUUAUAUACAUAUAUUCAAUAUAUAUAUAUUGAAUUGAAUGUUGAAUAUAUAUCUGUAUAUACAAUAUCCAUGAUUCAAUUCAGGAUCGCACGUUACAUUUAUUAAUAUUUGUCAAAUCUCUUCAGUCUCCUUUAUCCUGAAUCCCAAUUCAGGAUUCUUUGUAAAUUCUAAGCAGUGUUUUCCAAAAAUGUAAAAACUAGAAACAGUUAAAAAAAGUAAAAUAAAGUUAAAAAUUACAUUUUGACUCAGCACACAAUACACGUAAGUUUAAAAACCACGGUUUGAGAACUUAUAAACUAUUUGCCUUUGACCUAGAAUGUUAGAGUUUACCAGGUAUUUUUCAAACUUUCAUGAUGGCAACCCAGAAUAAGAAAUACCAUUAACAUGGUAACCCGUUCCAUACACACACAUACACACACACACACAGAUAUACUGACAUAAAAGUAUCAUUGAACUAUACUUACCCUUACUACAUUCAAUUACUCUGAUAUUUUCUAUUCUUUUCCAUUUCAUUUCUUAAAAUGCUAACCACAACCCAGCAAGCUGACUUCACAACCCAUUAACAGGGUGGAUACACAGUUUGAAAAGCCUGGGAACAUUCCUGGGUUAGCAGAUAAUAAAGCUCUCGGUGAGCUUUGCUGGGAUUUGUGGCCAACAGAAUAUUGCCCAGAGGACUCCUUAAACUGAAGUACACUUUAUAAACUGUAACCAAACUUUGUGGUUGGUGCUUUGCUUUGUAUUUUUUACUUAAAAAAAUCUGGGGGGGGGGGCUUCCCUGGUGGUGCAGUGGUUAAGAAUCCGCCUGCCAAUGCAGGGGACACGGGUUCGAGCCCUGGUCCAGGAAGAUCCCACAUGCCGCAGAGCAACUAAGCCCAUGCGCCACAACUACUGAGCCUGUGCUCUAAAGCCCACGAGCCACAACUUCUGAGCCCUGUGCCACAACUACUGAGCCCAUGAGCCACAACUACUGAGCCUGCGCUCUAGAGCCCACAAGCCACAACUACUGAAGCCCAUGCACCUAGAGCCUGUGCUCCGCAACAAGAGAAGCCACUGCAAUGAGAAGCCCGUGCACCACGGCGAAGAGUAGCCCCCGCUUUCCACAACUAGGGGAAAACCGGUGCACAGCAAUGAAGACCCAAC